AUAAACUAGAUCUAGGCAUAAUUGUUUAGUGUAGGGUUUUCGCUUUUCUAUUCUAGCUGCAGAAUUUGCUGUUACAACUCCCUCCUGGAAGAACAAGAAAGAGCAGAAAACUUUUCAUCAGGCUUCAGAUCAGGCAGCAGAUGGCAACUUUGGUUAUCCUCUGAUCGGGCUGCCUUGAAUUAGAGAUGAGCCCCAUCCCCUUCCAAGCAAGCACAAUGCAAGGCUGAGCUGGGAGUUGGAUCAUGUCUAAACAUUGUGUCUGGAUUCAGAGCUCACCAGAGUUUUGCUGUACUUGAUCCAAGAGCUUGGCUGGAGCCAAGUUCUAAUUAAGGCUGGUAACUUGUCAGAGACAAGCUCUGUGUGCUGCCAGCAGCAUCUCUGUGUUACCUAUCUCCUGUACUGAGAUUUUAGGCCAGAUAAACUGUCUCCAGGUUACAAGUAGUCCCUAUGGACUGCCUGUAGCUUAUAGUUUUGACACCUGAAAUAAAAAGGAAAAAAAAAAAAAAAGCUGUUUGGCUUGGUAGUACUUUACUUACCUCCUUAUAACCAACUGGAUGUAGGGCAUGAUUUUUAUUAACACUCUCCUGAUAAGUUAAUGUAAGAUAACCUUUGAAGCAAUCGGUGUCAUUUACAUAGGUGUUUGCAAAUCAGAUGCAGCUUGUUUGUUCCCAUGGCACUGCACAGAGAAAAAGGAACACCAUCUUGACAGUGGACCUGCUGGUGCCGAGAGGACAAAACUGCAGCACCCCUGGAAUGAAUUAACUUACACUCUGCUUCAGCUUGUACCACCAGAGCUUAUAGUCCAAGCGGGAACAUGCAAGCCCUCUUUCAUUCAGGUUAUCCUUCACUGUUUCUGGGAAUGCUGUGAGGACAAAGGUAAGAAAGGUGUGAACUUUCUGAAUGGUACUAUUAAAAAAAAAGUGAGAGCUGAUAGUUGGAAUAGACCGUUGUGAUACAAAAGAAAAGCCCUUGCUGCUGUUUUUGCUUGUUGGGGGAGUUUUUGACACUCAUAAGAUUUGACUGGAUUUUCAGCAUGACUCCUGCUAUUGCUAAAACACUUUAGUCUUGGUUCU
rnacentral:lncRNA from 1 species